rnacentral:rRNA from 1 species
GAUGAACGCUGGCGGCGUGCCUAAUACAUGCAAGUCGAGCGAACAGACGAGGAGCUUGCUCCUCUGACGUUAGCGGCGGACGGGUGAGUAACACGUGGAUAACCUACCUAUAAGACUGGGAUAACUUCGGGAAACCGGAGCUAAUACCGGAUAACAUGUUGAACCGCAUGGUUCAACAGUGAAAGACGGUCUUGCUGUCACUUAUAGAUGGAUCCUCGCCGCAUUAGCUAGUUGGUAAGGUAACGGCUUACCAAGGCAACGAUGCGUAGCCGACCUGAGAGGGUGAUCGGCCACACUGGAACUGAGACACGGUCCAGACUCCUACGGGAGGCAGCAGUAGGGAAUCUUCCGCAAUGGGCGAAAGCCUGACGGAGCAACGCCGCGUGAGUGAAGAAGGUCUUCGGAUCGUAAAACUCUGUUAUUAGGGAAGAACAAAUGUGUAAGUAACUAUGCACGUCUUGACGGUACCUAAUCAGAAAGCCACGGCUAACUACGUG